AACCUAUGGUGAAUACACUUUCGUAAGAGAUCCUUAUACCUUUCCCAUGCUUCAUACAGUGACUCAAUGUUUUGCUAGAAAAAAUUAGUAAUGUCACUUCUCAUCUU